rnacentral:rRNA from 1 species
UUCCGGUUGAUCCUGCCGGAGGUCAUUGCUAUUGGAGUCCGAUUUAGCCAUGCUAGUCGUACGAACUUAGAUUCGUGGCGAAUAGCUCAGUAACACGUGGUCAAACUACCCUGUCGAGCGCGAUAACCUCGGGAAACUGAGGCUAAUAGCGCAUACGGCUCGAUGCCUGGAACUGGCUCGAGCCCGAAACGCUCCGGCGCGACAGGAUGUGGCUGCGGCCGAUUAGGUAGACGGUGGGGUAACGGCCCACCGUGCCGAUAAUCGGUACGGGUUGUGAGAGCAAGAGCCCGGAGACGGAAUCUGAGACAAGAUUCCGGGCCCUACGGGGCGCAGCAGGCGCGAAACCUUUACACUGCACGACAGUGCGAUAGGGGGACUCCGAGUGCGAGGGCAUAUAGUCCUCGCUUUUCACUACCGUAAGGUGGUAGUAGAAUAAGUGCUGGGCAAGACCGGUGCCAGCCGCCGCGGUAAUACCGGCAGCACGAGUGAUGACCGCUAUUAUUGGGCCUAAAGCGUCCGUAGCCGGCCGAACAAGUCCGUCGGGAAAUCCGCACGCCUAACGUGCGGGCGUCCGGCGGAAACUGUUCGGCUUGGGACCGGAAGGCUCGAGGGGUACGUCCGGGGUAGGAGUGAAAUCCCGUAGUCCUGGACGGACCACCGGUGGCGAAAGCGCCUCGAGAGGACGGAUCCGACGGUGAGGGACGAAAGCUAGGGUCACGAACCGGAUUAGAUACCCGGGUAGUCCGAGCUGUAAACGAUGUCUGCUAGGUGUGGCACAGGCUACGAGCCUGUGCUGUGCCGUAGGAAAGCCGUGAAGCAGACCGCCUGGGAAGUACGUCCGCAAGGAUGAAACUUAAAGGAAUUGGCGGGGGAGCAC